rnacentral:rRNA from 1 species
ACGGGCAUUGCCUCAGUAGCGGCGAGUGAAGCGGCAAAAGCUCCAUUUUGAAAGCUCUUCGGAGCGUUGUAGAUUGGUGGGAAGCUAACGGCUGGUGGGAGACCAAGUCCUCUGGAACGAGGCGCCAUAGAGGGUGAGAGCCCCGUGUGUCUCCUUUACCGACCUUUCAGCCCCCUCCGCGGAGUCGAGUUGUUUGGGAAUGCAGCUCUAAGUGGGUGGUAAAUUCCAUCUAAGGCUAAAUAUUGGCGAGAGACCGAUAGCGAACAAGUACAGUGAUGGAAAGAUGAAAAGCACUUUGAAAAGAGAGUGAAACAGUACGUGAAAUUGUUGAAAGGGAAGGGUAUUUGGCCCGACAUGGGUCCUAUGCACCGUUGCCUCUCGUGGGCGGCGCUCUGCUUGGGCCUGGGCCAGCGUCAGUUUGGAGGGGGCGAGAAGGGUUUUGGGGAGUUGCCUAGCAAUUCCCCUUUGCUAGAUUGCCCCACACCGGACUGAGGACCGCCAUCUGUAGGAUGCUGGCACAACGGCCAAAUACCGCCCGUCUUGAAMMAMSRRRAAMCAAA